rnacentral:rRNA from 1 species
CCUACGGGUGGCUGCAGUGGGGAAUAUUGCACAAUGGGGGAAACCCUGAUGCAGCAACGCCGCGUGAAGGAAGACGGUUUUCGGAUUGUAAACUUCUGUUCUUAGUGAAGAAUAAUGACGGUACCUGAGUAAGAAGCACCGGCUAAAUACGUGCCAGCAGCCGCGGUAAUACGUAUGGUGCAAGCGUUAUCCGGAUUUACUGGGUGUAAAGGGAGCGCAGGCGGCACGGCAAGCCUGAUGUGAAAGCCCGCGGCCCAACCGCGGGACUGCAUUGGGAACUACCGGGCUGGAGUGCCGGAGAGGUAGGCGGAAUUCCUAGUGUAGCGGUGAAAUGCGUAGAUAUUAGGAGGAACACCAGUGGCGAAGGCGGCCUACUGGACGGUGACUGACGCUGAGGCUCGAAAGCGUGGGGAGCAAACAGGAUUAGAUACCCCAGUAGUC